AAAAAGAUAAACCCUGGGUUUCCAUGUCCAACUUUGACUGUCCGUCUUAUAUGAAUUUUUUUUAUAAUUCGUAUUUUUAUUGUUGUUAGAUGAUAAAGCAUGAUUAAUGCUUUGUGCGUGACUUGUCUUUUUAAUUUAUUUUAUAUCUUUUUUAAAUAAGACAGACGGUUAAACGUUGGACACGAAAAUUAAGGUUUGUCUUUUUU
rfam:Oryza barthii chromosome 8, whole genome shotgun sequence.